GGGGCGGUCGUCUAGCAUGGUUAUGAUUCCAGCUUGGGGUGCUGGAGGUCGCGGGUUCAAAUCCCGCCCGCCCCACCA
rnacentral:tRNA from 1 species